rnacentral:rRNA from 1 species
CCAGAGAACUUUCCAGAGAUGGAUUGGUGCCUUUCGGGAACUCUGAGACAGGUGCUGCAUGGCUGUCGUCAGCUCGUGUUGUGAAAUGUUGGGUUAAGUCCCGCAACGAGCGCAACCCUUUAUCCUUUGUUGCCAGCGGUCCGGCCGGGAACUCAAAGGAGACUGCCAGUGAUAAACUGGAGGAAGGUGGGGAUGACGUCAAGUCAUCAUGGCCCUUACGAGUAGGGCUACACACGUGCUACAAUGGCGCAUACAAAGAGAAGCGACCUCGCGAGAGCAAGCGGACCUCAUAAAGUGCGUCGUAGUCCGGAUUGGAGUCUGCAACUCGACUCCAUGAAGUCGGAAUCGCUAGUAAUCGUGGAUCAGAAUGCCACGGUGAAUACGUUCCCGGGCCUUGUACACACCGCCCGUCACACCAUGGGAGUGGGUUGCAAAAGAAGUAGGUAGCUUAACCUUCGGGAGGGCGCUUACCACUUUGUGAUUCAUGACUGGGGUGAAGUCGUAACAAGGUAAGCGUAGUGCU